AGGUGAGGCUCUGAUUUUGGGUGAUUUCAAUACUUUGGCUUUUGACUGAUAUGGGUUUUGAUGUUUUGGGUGUUUUGUUUGUCCUGCAGUUUCGAUUCUGGACGGUUGAUUGAAAAAAUUACAAGACAUAAUAUGACGAAUCUCGGUGUUUGGAUUUUGAUUUGAGGAAGCUGAAAACUUAUCUGGCCAAUUCGGAUUUGAGGUUGUGAUAACUUGAUCACUUGAUCAAUAUAAGAUGUCUCCAGCCAAUUCGGAUUUGGAUUUGAGGUUGCUGAUAACUUGCUUCAUGAAGCCACUAGGAAUCUAGAAAGUUUGAUAUUUUUCUCCCAGACCCUUAGAACCAAGGUAAUUCUCUUUCCCUAUUAAUGAUCACUUCUUUCUUAUGUUUCUAGAGAGCUGUUUAAGAUUCAAUGUUCAAGCUUUGAGAACCUGUUUUUAUUUAUUUAUUUUUUUUUUUUAAUGAUGAUUGCUAUGGUUUAGAUUGUAGUUUAUUUUUUAGUUAUCUCAUAAUUUUCUUAAUAUGUGUGUUCCAAUUUUUAGUUUCAAAUGAUGCGUUCUAUAGUGCCAUAGGUUCAGGAAGAAGCAUCACAAACCUGUUUGUUGCAAUA